CGGAAAGUUUUAUGACGCUUCGGUUGAUUGAAACUUUUAGUGGCAAACGGGUGAGUAAUGCAUAAAUAAUCUGCCCUUGAGACCGGGAUAACUUUUCGAAAGGAAAGCUAAUACUGGAUAAUCUUUCUUAUCAUAAGAUAUAGAAAGCAAAUGUUUUUUCGCUCAAGGAUGAGUUUAUGUCUGAUUAGCUAGUUGGUAGGGUAAUGGCCUACCAAGGUUACGAUCAGUAGCUGGUCUGAGAGGAUGAUCAGCCACACUGGGACUGAGAUACGGCCCAGACUCCUACGGGAGGCAGCAGUGAGGAAUAUUGCGCAAUGGGCGAAAGCCUGACGCAGCAACGCCGCGUGAAUGAUGAAGUUUUUCGGAAUGUAAAGUUUAGUCACCAGAGAUGAUAAUGACAGUAUCUGGAGAGGAAACCCCGGCUAAGUACGUGCCAGCAGCCGCGGUAAGACGUGCGGGGUAAGCGUUAUCCGGAAUCACUGGGCAUAAAGAGUGUGUAGGCGGAAAUGUGUGUCAGGUGUGAAAGGCUUUGGCCUAACCAAAGUAAGCACUUGAAACUGCAUUUCUAGAGGAUAGUAGAGGAAAGCGGAACUUACGGUGUAGCGGUGAAAUGUGUAGAUAUCGUAAGGAACACCAGUUGCGAAGGCUGCUUUCUGGGCUAUUUCUGACGCUAAAGCACGAAAGCGUGGGUAGCGAACGGGAUUAGAUACCCCGGUAGUCCACGCCGUAAACGUUGUUCACUAAGUGUAGGGAGAAUCGAUCCUCUCUGUGCCACAGAUAAUUCUUUAAGUGAACCGCCUGGG
rnacentral:rRNA from 1 species